rnacentral:tRNA from 5 species
GCCUCCGUAGCUCAGGGGAUAGAGCACCGCUCUCCUAAAGCGGGUGUCGCAGGUUCGAAUCCUGCCGGGGGCGCCA